rnacentral:rRNA from 1 species
GACGAACGCCGGCGGCGUGCUUAACACAUGCAAGUCGAGCGGUAAGGCUCCUUCGGGGGUACACGAGCGGCGAACGGGUGAGUAACACGUGAGUAAUCUGCCCUUCACUUCGGGAUAAGCUUCGGAAACGGGGUCUAAUACCGGAUAUGACAACUGGAUGCAUGUUUGGUUGUGGAAAGUUUUUUCGGUGGGGGAUGUGCUCGCGGCCUAUCAGCUUGUUGGUGGGGUAAUGGCCUACCAAGGCUUUGACGGGUAGCCGGCCUGAGAGGGUGACCGGCCACACUGGGACUGAGACACGGCCCAGACUCCUACGGGAGGCAGGAGUGGGGAAUAUUGGAGAAUGGAGGAAACUCUGACGCAGCAACGCCAUGUGUGGGAUGAAGCAUUUCGGUGUGUAAACCACUGUCAGCAGGGAAUAAAAGGUCGCCUCGGCGGCACUUGAAUGUACCUGCAAAGGAAGCCCCGGCUAACUUCGUGCCA